GUAAUCAUUGUCCCUCACCUGGAUUAUUGCAAUAGCCUCAUAACGGGUCCCCCUGUUCCUACCUUUUCCUGCCUGUAGUUUAUUCUUAGGGUUAAGUCAUGUUACUGCUCUGCUCUAAUCCUCCAAUGCUUCCCUAUCAUGAUCAGAGAAAAGUCAAAUCCUUCUACCACCCCUCAAGGCCCUACACAGUCAGACUUGGUGACCUUCCUAUCUCAUCUCCAACUCCCUCCUACCACUGACACGCUCUCUUCCAGCCACCCUGAUCUCCCUGUGCUUCCAAGGACAUGCCAGGGCUUUUGCAUGUGCUGUCCCUUCUGCUGGAACCCUCUUAC
rnacentral:lncRNA from 10 species